CCCGUGAUAGCUCAGUUGGUAGAGCGGAGGACUGUAGAGGUGUGUAUCUAAGUUAUCCUUAGGUCGGUGGUUCAAAUCCGCCUCGCGGGA
rnacentral:tRNA from 1 species